AGACCCGAAACCCGGUGAUCUAGCCAUGGGCAGGUUGAAGGUUGGGUAACACUAACUGGAGGACCGAACCGACUAAUGUUGAAAAAUUAGCGGAUGACCUGUGGCUGGGGGUGAAAGGCCAAUCAAACCGGGAGAUAGCUGGUUCUCCCCGAAAGCUAUUUAGGUAGCGCCUCGUGAAUUCAUCUCCGGGGGUAGAGCACUGUUUCGGCUAGGGGGCCAUCCCGGCUUACCAACCCGAUGCAAACUGCGAAUACCGGAGAAUGUUAUCACGGGAGACACACGGCGGGUGCUAACGUCCGUCGUGAAGAGGGAAACAACCCAGACCGCCAGCUAAGGUCCCAAAGUCAUGGUUAAGUGGGAAACGAUGUGGGAAGGCCCAGACAGCCAGGAUGUUGGCUUAGAAGCAGCCAUCAUUUAAAGAAAGCGUAAUAGCUCACUGGUCGAGUCGGCCUGCGCGGAAGAUGUAACGGGGCUAAACCAUGCACCGAAGCUGCGGCAGCGACACUCAGGUGUUGUUGGGUAGGGGAGCGUUCUGUAAGCCUGCGAAGGUGGCCUGUGAGGGUUGCUGGAGGUAUCAGAAGUGCGAAUGCUGACAUAAGUAACGAUAAAGCGGGUGAAAAGCCCGCUCGCCGGAAGACCAAGGGUUCCUGUCCAACGUUAAUCGGGGCAGGGUGAGUCGACCCCUAAGGCGAGGCCGAAAGGCGUAGUCGAUGGGAAACGGGUUAAUAUUCCCGUACUUGGUGUUACUGCGAAGGGGGGACGGAGAAGGCUAUGUUGGCCGGGCGACGGUUGUCCCGGUUUAAGCGUGUAGGCUGGUUUUCCAGGCAAAUCCGGAAAAUCAAGGCUGAGGCGUGACGACGAGGCACUACGGUGCUGAAGCAACAAAUGCCCUGCUUCCAGGAAAAGCCUCUAAGCAUCAGGUAACAUCAAAUCGUACCCCAAACCGACACAGGUGGUCAGGUAGAGAAUACCAAGGCGCUUGAGAGAACUCGGGUGAAGGAACUAGGCAAAAUGGUGCCGUAACUUCGGGAGAAGGCACGCUGACACGUAGGUGAAGUGAUUUACUCAUGGAGCUGAAGUCAGUCGAAGAUACCAGCUGGCUGCAACUGUUUAUUAAAAACACAGCACUGUGCAAACACGAAAGUGGACGUAUACGGUGUGACGCCUGCCCGGUGCCGGAAGGUUAAUUGAUGGGGUCAGCGCAAGCGAAGCUCCUGAUCGAAGCCCCGGUAAACGGCGGCCGUAACUAUAACGGUCCUAAGGUAGCGAAAUUCCUUGUCGGGUAAGUUCCGACCUGCACGAAUGGCGUAAUGAUGGCCAGGCUGUCUCCACCCGAGACUCAGUGAAAUUGAACUCGCUGUGAAGAUGCAGUGUACCCGCGGCAAGACGGAAAGACCCCGUGAACCUUUACUAUAGCUUGACACUGAACAUUGAGCCUUGAUGUGUAGGAUAGGUGGGAGGCUUUGAAGUGUGGACGCCAGUCUGCAUGGAGCCGGCCUUGAAAUACCACCCUUUAAUGUUU
rnacentral:rRNA from 1 species